UGCAAAUGUUUCAUUCUCAACAAAAGAGAACGGUUAGGAAAAUUUCAAUCCAAAACAAUUGAGGGUAUAUUUGUUGGUUAUGGAUCAAACUCUCACGCCUAUAGAGUCUACAACAAAUCCAAUGGAUGUGUUGUAGAAACUUGUGACAUGGUGUUUGAUGAAUUUAAUGGCUCCCAUGGGGAGCAAGUUGAUCUAAGUGAUGUAGGUGAAGAAGAUUCUUCUCAAGACAUUUUGAAGAUGGGUGUUGGUGCACUUCUUCCUAUGGAACAAGAACCUCAUGAUGAUGACGAAGAAGAUGGAGAUCUCACGCAUCAUCAAACUACUUCAACAUCCAUACCAACACAAGUUCCUAUUGUUCAACCUAUACCCUUAGCUCAUGUUGAUGAGGCUGAUCAAGUCUCACUCAAUGAUAACCAUCAAGAACAAGAUCAUCAUCAAGAGCAAGAACAAGAAAGUCCAAUCAUGGAUGACGAACCUCAACAACUGCAACAUGAACAAGAAGACCUUCCUCCACAUGUGAAUGAUCCAUAUGUUGAAGAUGUGGAUGAUGGACAUGAAGUUGAACCUCGUGAAACCCUCACCUCCAUCAUGCCUCGAGUG
rnacentral:rRNA from 1 species